CUGUGCUUGUCGCUUGCCUGCCCCGGGAAUUCUUCAUUGUGGAGCCAAGGGAAGGAGGAACAAGGAAGAGAAUGGUGUAUUAAUCACAAUGCCCAGCAGACAAGCUCCAAUGCAAUGGACCUUGCUGCUCCGGCAUCUACUGUCCAAGCCCCUUUUGUGUCAACGAUCCCCACCUUCAGUGCCUAGACCUUGGGGUGCUUGAGGCCAGAUCAGAACAGGAUGAGGGAGAUGUAAAUUGGUAGCAGAGGCAGAAGAAGAGACAAGCAAGAAGUCAGGGCAGCUUCAAAUCCCCUCCUCUCGUCCUCCACCUCCACUGCUUGCUCUCUCCGCAUCCUCUCCUGGUGUGGCCCCUCGCCUCAGCUCAAUUCCCUUCCUUCUCUUGACAUUGCCAGUACCUCCAACCCUAUAACGGCUAAGCCCUCCAGCUCACUUACUGGGAUAUCAAUCACAAGUGGCCUAAAAAAAAAUCUACUGAAGCCUAUUCUCACCGCAACUCCAGUAAAUGAAGAUUCUCCUCAUCAACCUAUAAUUGGAUAGAGAACUGUAAACUGUUUUAAGUAAUUUACUAUGAGAAUAAGCAUUGGCUCAUGUGGCUGGGAUCUAAGAGGAGACAGGAUGGAUGAACCUGGAAGAAAUGAGGUGGAGGGGCAAAUAAAAAUCAGGCAGAUGGUCCAAAUGAA